AUACGUACAUGGCAAACCACUUGAGAGAGUGGGACGCAAAGCUUCCGGCCUAAGUCUAUUUUAAAGAAUAGGUAGCGGGGUUACCGAU
rnacentral:ncRNA from 1 species